GGGUCCGGACACACUGAGGAUUGACAGGCAAUAUUAAUACGUUUUGCUUCGGUAAACGCGUAUUAUGUUAAAUAUGCUAGUCCUUUCAUGAUUAUGUGAUAGGUGGUGCAUGGCCGUUCUUAGUUCGUGGAGUGAUCUGUCUGCUUAAUUGCGUUUCACUAAGGGCCUAUAAAUUUACGUGUGUUGCAUCGCACUUUGACCCCUUUCUUUAAUUAGAGAGCGCGUGUCUUAGUUUUCGCUUUGCUCAUACAAUUAGGUCCUGAAAGCAACGAACGUGACCGCAACCUCUUGUUGCCUUUAUACCAAACAUGUUUUGCGUCAAUUUUUACGAAUUGCGCGCAUUUCAUGAAAAAAGGCUUUUUAAACUAGAGGGACCGCUGUUACUUUCUUAAACCAGAGGAAGGUUGCGGCAAUAACAGGUCUGUGAUGCCCUUAGAUGUUCCGGGCUGCACACGUGCUACAAUGAUUAUUGCAGUGAGCAUCUCAUUUUUACACACCGCAUGCGCGAGUCCAUUUAUUCACCUUCGGGUGUUUUAAAUGUGUAUCUCUGCGCGCGGUAAAGCCUGCUUCGACAGUAAGUGGGU
rnacentral:rRNA from 1 species